UACGAAGGGGGCUAGCGUUGCUCGGAAUUACUGGGCGUAAAGCGCACGUAGGCGGCUCUUUAAGUCGGAGGUGAAAUCCUGAAGCUCAACUCCAGAACUGCCUUCGAUACUGAAGAGCUCGAGUCCGGGAGAGGUGAGUGGAACUGCGAGUGUAGAGGUGAAAUUCGUAGAUAUUCGCAAGAACACCAGUGGCGAAGGCGGCUCACUGGCCCGGUACUGACGCUGAGGUGCGAAAGCGUGGGGAGCAAACAGG
rnacentral:rRNA from 1 species